rnacentral:rRNA from 1 species
GACACUGAGGUGCGAAAGCGUGGGUAGCAAACAGGAUUAGAUACCCUGGUAGUCCACGCCGUAAACGAUGUCAACUAGCCGUUGGGUCCCUUGAGGACUUAGUGGCGCAGCUAACGCAAUAAGUUGACCGCCUGGGGAGUACGGCCGCAAGGUUAAAACUCAAAUGAAUUGACGGGGGCCCGCACAAGCGGUGGAGCAUGUGGUUUAAUUCGAUGCAACGCGAAGAACCUUACCUACCCUUGACAUCCAGAGGAAUUUCCAGAGAUGGAUUGGUGCCUUCGGGAACUCUGAGACAGGUGCUGCAUGGCUGUCGUCAGCUCGUGUUGUGAAAUGUUGGGUUAAGUCCCGUAACGAGCGCAACCCCUAUCCUUAUUUGCCAGCGAGUCAUGUCGGGAACUCUAAGGAGACUGCCGGUGACAAACCGGAGGAAGGUGGGGACGACGUCAAGUCAUCAUGGCCCUUACGGGUAGGGCUACACACGUGCUACAAUGGCAAGUACAAAGGGUUGCAAUACGGCGACGUGGAGCCAAUCCCAUAAAGCUUGCCUCAGUCCGGAUUGGAGUCUGCAACUCGACUCCAUGAAGUCGGAAUCGCUAGUAAUCGUGGAUCAGAAUGCCACGGUGAAUACGUUCCCGGGCCUUGUACACACCGCCCGUCACACCAUGGGAGUGGACUGCACCAGAAGUGGUUAGCC